UGCUUUCUAGACUGAGAAAGAAAGAGAGACAAAGGAAGGGGCUUUUGGAGAGAGAAAAAUCAAACCCAUCAUCAUUAUUCAUUCAGCUCUAAUUUUCACUACUCACUCCUCAGCUCAUACUUUUAGAUUUACAUUUUCAUAUAUCCAUACACAUACCAAUACCAUAAUACUCUUUCUCGAUUCUCGACAAAUUUAACACCAAAAUACUAUUCAUCCAUAGCCUCCAAUUAAUC
rnacentral:lncRNA from 1 species